rnacentral:lncRNA from 1 species
GUCCCAUCCUCACACCAUCCUGAGAUCACUCAGCUUCUUCCCUUUGCUCUCCCUAUGGCUGUAGCCGCUGCCUGGCACGGGACAAGCACUCGAGAAAUGCUUUUUGAAAGAUGAGUCCUAAAUAGAAUCAGCAGAUGCACCCAGAGCAGCUCCUGCUUCCACGAAAGCCUGUGCAGCGCUGCCACUCUACAAGAUCCCUCUUCGAACUGAUCAGAAUGUGUAUCGUCACCCAGUGCACCGGCUCUCCACGCUGCAUUGCUCAUCCUCACACAUUGAAACUAAACACGUCGAAAAUGUCACAGAUGCUCCAACAGCAAAGGAAAUUGGCAUCUAAAAAAUCGAGCGGGGGAAGUGAUCAUAGAAAGCUUCGUGGAUACACCACAUUUUAAAGACUAAGCAUCGUCGGGGAAGCGGUGCCAGGCCAAGGGUGGUGUGUGGGGAAGUAUACAGAGCCGUGAGAGAGGCAGAGCGAGGCAUGUGGGGGAUGAGCAGAGGAAGAGCUGGAGGAAAGGCAUAUUGAGGAGUGUAAGGAGGACGAGGGCCAGGACUUGAGGGCUGAUGAUGUGAAGUCCUGAGCGCUGCGGGGAGCUGCUGGGGAGUGUUAGACAGGCCACAGUGUCAUCAGAAUCGAGUGUGGAAAGUGUUAUUCUGGCAGUCCGGUGGGGAUUGUUUGGGAAAACUGUAGGCAAGGACAUCACCUUGCAAUUCUGGCAGCCGGGUGGGGGUUGUUUGGGAAAAUUGCAGGCAAGGACCUCACCAUGCAAUUCUGGGCAAACAGAGAUGAUGCCUGUGUCAGAUGCUGGUAGGGAGAGCUUUCCUAGAGCUCCUCUUUUCUCAAUAAAAUGGGAGACAAGCUCAUCAGCUGAGCGUAAGAUGUAGGAGGUGUGGAAGGUUUGAGGAGAGGGGAGGUGGGGUAACUGAACCGUGCCAGACUCCUGAGAAGCCACGAAGGGAUGGAAUUCAAGUCACAGGUGGGAGGCUGCAUGUAGAUGGCUGAAGGGCCUUCUGUCCUGGCACGGAAAUGGUGCAGGAGGGCAGGUGCAAAGAGAGGCUGGUGUGUAUAGAUGGAGUGGGGGACACUCCGUCUCUGGGGUCUUUGGUCCUGUCCUCACUAGUGUCUUGAGGGUUGCACAAUGUCAAGGCACCCCCUUGGCAGGGCAAUGCUGAUGGCCACAGAGCAUGGCCUGCACUGCUUGGUUUUAUGCCGGAAGGUUUUCCCAACUUCCAGUAUCAGGAAGAGGAGGCUGGAGAUUCUGUUCCUGGGCUCCCAGGAGGCCCUGGGUUUUCCUCUGCAGGUUCCUCAUCAACCCCAACCCAGAGGUCUGCG